rnacentral:rRNA from 1 species
AAGCGUUGUUCGGAUUUAUUGGGCGUAAAGCGCGUGUAGGCGGCUUCUUAAGUCUGAUGUGAAAGCCCUGGGCUCAACCCGGGAAGUGCAUUGGAAACUGGCAGACUUGAAUACGGGAGAGGGUAGUGGAAUUCCUAGUGUAGGGGUGAAAUCCGUAGAUAUUCGGAGGAACACCGGUGGCGAAGGCGGCUAUCUGGACCGAUACUGACGCUGAGACGCGAAAGCGUGGGGAGCAAACAGGAUUAGAUACCCUGGUAGUCCACGCCGUAAACGAUGGGUACUAGGUGUUGCGGGUAUUGACCCCGCAGUGCC